AGUGUGAGGGAGUUCCUUAUGAGAGGACAGCCACGUGAAGACGCACAAACAGAGGGAGAAUGCUGUGUGAAGAUGUAGGCAGAAAUUGGAGUAAUUCAUUAACAAGCCAAGGAACACCAAGGAUGGAGAGAGGCAUGGAAGUGAUUUUCUCUUGGAGGACUCAGGAGGAACCAACCCUGACAACACCUUGAUUUCAGACUUCUAACCUCUAGAAAUAUUCAACAAAGACAACCAGACGGCUCUGUGUGGUGUUUGGAGAGCAGUCCCUGUUGAAGCUCUUCUGCAGACACUUUGGCAGCCUCAGUAUUAUUGAUCUAUUGAAGACAAAGAGGAAAACAUUCUGAUCGGUAUGCUAAGAAGAGUUUACUUCCCGGGGAAGGCAGGCGGUCUCAUGCUUCCGAACUUUUCAUUGCAAUUGUGAAGCCCACCUAGGAAGACAGAGGACUGAAUUAUUAAAGAAACUGAGUUUUCUAGCCUUGAAGCAGAAUUUUCAAUAUUCUGCAAAUUUUACAACGUCUUGUUUGAAAAUACACGUUUUCCCAUGUUUAGAGACAGAAAGAAAGAUAAUUCACUCAGAAGUGAGAAAAGUUAGCUGUGACACUAAAAUUCAGUUGAAUGUAUUAAAGUAUAACUUGGGUUUUAGAUACUUGUCUUAAGAAUAGGUCAUUAAGAAUUUGAACAGCUGGCCUGCUGUUUGAUAUUAUGUCAAUCCCAAAAUAAUCUGUGGGGAAAAUUAAUGUUGUUAUUAAUAUUUUAAAUCUUUUUGUCUAGAUGAGCUGGUAUAAUAAUAAUC
rnacentral:lncRNA from 1 species